rnacentral:lncRNA from 1 species
CAGAAUAUCAGCUGGUGUGAUUGCUGAGUUGUGGAUAAGUCGGUCCUUGAGAAGAUGGAACUUAUCUGGGUGUCUUUGUUCAGAAUCCUGCUUGCAAGUCGUCAGAUGGUGUAUGUGGAGUCAAUCACCAAUUCACCAGCUCCAUUUGUAGAGUUCGAUUUGUCAUGACUUGGACCACAGCUUCUGAUGAAUUUCCCUCUAUCUUUGAUGGCUAAUCAGGUAGAGUAGCAAGAGCAACAACUUCCUUCGCCCUACGAAUGUGCUUCUUCCCAUUCGCGUGGUCACUCAUAACAUCUAGUGAAUGAGUACCAACUCCACAAGCUUUACACCGGAACUUGAACCCUUCCCGUUUCCGCAAGGACUGGGGAAUGAUGCUAUUGGCAUUGAUUUCAGCAAUCUGAGCAGUUUCCUUGCCCUUGUGAUUCCUGCCUUCAAUGUGUUGCUUCCAGCUUUAUGUUGGAUGCAACGGAUGAAAAUAGAGUAAAUAUAUUGCCCUAAUAAAUCACACACGAUAAAUAUUUC